rfam:Prunus persica cultivar Lovell chromosome G6, whole genome shotgun sequence.
GUAUUCGCAGGUGCGGCAUCAUCAAGAUUCACAUACUUUAGUGAGGGGUCUACCUUUAUCGAUCGAGUUAAUUGGUACUACUAACACCACCAAUUGAUUUUUGUACUCGAACUUCCUUUAGUACUCGAAAGGUAGUUCCUUUGAACUUUGAAGUGGGAAUCUUGAUGAUGCUGCAUCAGCAAGUAC